rnacentral:lncRNA from 1 species
UUGAAUACCCACUGCAAAAAUAUAAAGCUUUUUUAUUAUUCUUCUGCUGUACGGUGGGGGACAGAGAAGUGACUUUUUUGUUGUUGCGGGUGCAUUCUUAUAACACACACAGAAUCAGCCAUUUGGAUUUUUUAAGCCAUAAACGAUUUUUUCCCCUCUUGUUCCAGGGACCGCAGUUAAAAGCUAGGGCUAGGACUUGGAGGAUGUGUAGGCAAACGGAAGGAGAGCCGGGGGAAGAAAAGCCGAAAUGGAUUCAUUCUCCGUCCUGGCUGGAGGAGGAGAGGAGCGGGGACGUGCGGGCUGCCUGCAGCUGCCUCUGUCCGGUGAGAAGUGCUCAGAGCCCCGCGGCUGACUCGGGCUCAGGAGUCCGCGCGGACUUUCGCUCUAAGCUGCCAAUCAAACCGCUAACUAGCCACCACCCUGCGCUGGCACCGACAUGAGCCGAGGGAUCGCCUUGUGCCAGAGCCACCUCCGCAGCCCCUUCGGCCACCCCAGCCCCGAGCAGAGGCUGAGCACAUCUGAAUAUUCCUAUUCAACUCUGCAAACAGCCAGAGAUACUCCAAAACCGUGCGUGAGACCAGAUGAUGUGAAACUUUCCACCAUUAAACCCCUGUUCAGGCGCGCUCCAGAAGCAGGCAGCGCAUAGCAGCCCGGGGAUGCUGACAGACUGUUUGUCAUCGGAAGCCCUAAGCAGGUUUUUCCCCACUAACACCGCGUGCUGCGCUGUGCUCCCUUUCAGAAGAUGCUCUUUAAGUAUAGGAACACUUGACAAAUUUGCAUAAAAGCUUCAUCGUACAAGAUUGCUUGGAAGUUAAGCAGCAGCAGUUUUCCCCUAUUGUUUUAGGAAUAGAGAGUGCACUUUGUUUUCUUGUUUGCUCAGUGUACUUCCUGAUCCCUUGGUGCAUUUCUGUCAGCAUCACGGGACCUUGCUUACCUGGUAGAUUUUAAGUGUGAAAUGGGUCAUGUUCAAAGUACCCGAAAAAAACAACAGUAAUGGUGUCUGACAACUUUUUUUUUUUUUUUUUUUUUUUGCUCUUGUUAAAUAAUAUUUCAUGGUGCAUUAAGUGGGUUACGCAGCCUCUUCUGAGGAGACCACAGCAGUGUAUUGCUGCGUGCUCUGUGCUGUCGUCAGGCUGUUAGUUCUUAACUGGAGAAAAGCUGAAGGCAGCUGGAAUCCCUUCCUGAGCCUUUUCUCAGUUCUGAAUUUGAUAAAAAAUGGCAAUAAUUUGGAGACAGAUAUAGAAAGAAAAAAUAAAAAUGAUUUCACAAUAAGCCCCUUAGUGUGC